GAGUUUGAUCAUGGCUCAGAUUGAACGCUGGCGGCAUGCCUUACACAUGCAAGUCGAACGGCAGCGGGGGAAAGCUUGCUUUCCUGCCGGCGAGUGGCGAACGGGUGAGUAAUACAUCGGAACGUGCCCUGUAGUGGGGGAUAACUAGUCGAAAGAUUAGCUAAUACCGCAUACGACCUGAGGGUGAAAGUGGGGGACCGCAAGGCCUCAUGCUAUAGGAGCGGCCGAUGUCUGAUUAGCUAGUUGGUGGGGUAAAGGCCUACCAAGGCGACGAUCAGUAGCUGGUCUGAGAGGACGAUCAGCCACACUGGGACUGAGACACGGCCCAGACUCCUACGGGAGGCAGCAGUGGGGAAUUUUGGACAAUGGGCGAAAGCCUGAUCCAGCAAUGCCGCGUGUGUGAAGAAGGCCUUCGGUUGUAA
rnacentral:rRNA from 1 species